rnacentral:rRNA from 1 species
AUGUUUGUUAGGCAUAAAGAGAAAGAUAAUUUUCAUGUGAGGCUGCAAGUUGAUGUGCUUGAGCAGGCAUUUGGACCUAGGAUGGCGGGUGCAACAUCUUCGGGAGAACCAAGUCGUCGUAAUGGCAUCUCUAGCCAGAACAGUUCAGUUGGUGCACGGCGACGUGGUGGCUCAACAAGUGUGGGCAACAGCAGUAGGGUCCCCUUGAAGCGGAGCCUGAUGGCUACAAUUCUGGGGUUGAUGAAGAGAAGCUAUAUUCUGAUGUUAUUCGGAAUUUACGACGGGCACCUCAGACUGAAAAUCAAGAUGAGGCUCACAAUGCAGUCCGUGUGGAUGAUGACGCGAUGGGUGAGGACGAAGACCUUGCAGCUGUUGAAUGGGACCCUUUGA